rnacentral:rRNA from 1 species
ACAGUUUACAGCCCUGAGGACACCUGAUCUCCUCUGAUCUGGAAAGCUAAGCAGGGUUGGGCCUAGUUAGUAUUGUAUGGGGGACCACCUGGGUCUUAGGGUGUCUGUA